rnacentral:rRNA from 1 species
UGACCUCAAAUCAGGUAGGACUACCCGCUGAACUUUAGCAUAUCAAUAAGCGGAGGA